rnacentral:rRNA from 1 species
GUGGGGAAUAUUGGACAAUGGGGGAACCCUGAUCCAGCCAUGCCGCGUGUGUGAAGAAGGACUUUUGGUUGUAAAGCACUUUAAGCGAGGAGGAGGCUACCGAGAUUAAUACUCUUGGAUAGUGGACGAUACUCGCAGAAUAAGCACAGGCUAACUCUGUGCCAGCAGCCGCGGUAAUACAGAGGGUGCAAGCGUUAAUCGGAUUUACUGGGCGUAAAGAGCGCGUAGGUGGCCAAUUAAGUCAAAUGUGAAAUCCCCGGGCAUAACUUGGGAAUUGCAUUCGAUACUGGUUGGCUAGAGUAUGGGAGAGGAUGGUAGAAUUCCAGGUGUAGCGGUGAAAUGCGUAGAGAUCUGGAGGAAUACCGAUGGCGAAGGCAGCCAUCUGGCCUAAUACUGACACUGAGGUGCGAAAGCAUGGGGAGCAAACAGGAUUAGAUACCCCAGUAGUCC